UACGUAGGGUGCGAGCGUUAAUCGGAAUUACUGGGCGUAAAGCGUGCGCAGGCGGUUCGUUAAGUUCGUCGUGAAAGCCCCGGGCUCAACCUGGGAAUGGCGAUGGAAACUGGCGGGCUGGAGUGCGGCAGAGGGGGGUGGAAUUCCACGUGUAGCAGUGAAAUGCGUAGAGAUGUGGAGGAACGCCGAUGGCGAAGGCAGCCCCCUGGGCCGACACUGACGCUCAGGCACGAAAGCGUGGGGAGCAAACAGG
rnacentral:rRNA from 1 species